rnacentral:rRNA from 1 species
GAUGAACGCUGGCGGCGUGCCUAAUACAUGCAAGUCGAGCGAACAGACGAGGAGCUUGCUCCUCUGACGUUAGCGGCGGACGGGUGAGUAACACGUGGAUAACCUACCUAUAAGACUGGGAUAACUUCGGGAAACCGGAGCUAAUACCGGAUAAUAUAUUGAACCGCAUGGUUCAAUAGUGGAAGACGGUUUUGCUGUCACUUAUAGAUGGAUCCGCGCCGCAUUAGCUAGUUGGUAAGGUAACGGCUUACCAAGGCAACGAUGCGUAGCCGACCUGAGAGGGUGAUCGGCCACACUGGGACUGAGACACGGUCCAGACUCCUACGGGAGGCAGCAGUAGGGAAUCUUCCGCAAUGGGCGAAAGCCUGACGGAGCAACGCCGCGUGAGUGAUGAAGGUCUUCGGAUCGUAAAACUCUGUUAUUAGGGAAGAACAAAUGUGUAAGUAACUAUGCACGUCUUGACGGUACCUAAUCAGAAAGCCACGGCUAACUACGUG